UUUUCUUCUCCUUUUCUUCUCUAGCACUUCGCUUGGAGCUCUAUCUUCAAUAUUCACUUUUCUUUUUUCUUUUCUUCUCUAGCACUAAGUCUACUCCAGAUCAUUCAAGAAGCACCACUGCAUGUCCUCUUCCCACCGAGACUCAAAUGGAAAAUCGUCAGUUGAACUCCUCGUUAAUACAGAUGGACGAUAUCAAAUCAGUGGCUGCAGAAUCCUGCAAAAAGGGCUAAGUAGGCUUGGAAUACACUGGUGUGGUGUGUCCCAAGGAGCCUCCAACGAGUUAGUCAGCAAGAUCAAAGCUCAAUUGUACAUAGAAAUUACUUAUUAGGCUAGAUUUGUUGUGCAUAUGUUGCAUACCUUUGUUGUGAUUCUUUGUGCCUUUUUAUAGGUCUUUUUCCCUCAAGAUGGGUGUAAAUGCCUCUCUUUAUGAUUAUGGAACCAUUGGUAAUGAAUGCGGGGGCAUUAUAGAUUUCAAUGGUCUUUUGCUCAUUGGUCUGUCGGUUACGCUUUUGCCUGUUCCAUGUGUUAACCGUUACUUAUGUCAUUUAUGGAGAACUCAUUUAAUGUCUA